rnacentral:rRNA from 1 species
UCCCUACGGGAGGCAGCAGUGGGGAAUAUUGCACAAUGGGCGCAAGCCUGAUGCAGCGACGCCGCGUGAGGGAUGACGGCCUUCGGGUUGUAAACCUCUUUCAGUAGGGAAGAAGCGAAAGUGACGGUACCUGCAGAAGAAGCGCCGGCUAACUACGUGCCAGCAGCCGCGGUAAUACGUAGGGCGCAAGCGUUAUCCGGAAUUAUUGGGCGUAAAGAGCUCGUAGGCGGUUUGUCGCGUCUGCCGUGAAAGUCCGGGGCUCAACUCCGGAUCUGCGGUGGGUACGGGCAGACUAGAGUGAUGUAGGGGAGACUGGAAUUCCUGGUGUAGCGGUGAAAUGCGCAGAUAUCAGGAGGAACACCGAUGGCGAAGGCAGGUCUCUGGGCAUUAACUGACGCUGAGGAGCGAAAGCAUGGGGAGCGAACAGGAUUAGAUACCCUGGUAGUCCCAUGCCGUAAACGUUGGGCACUAGGUGUGGGGGACAUUCCACGUUUUCCGCGCCGUAGCUAACGAUUAAGUGCCCCGCUGGGGGACGCCGCAG